GUCUGUGUGCAGGAUGGCCUGGAUUCCUGUCCUCCUUGUGCUCCUCUAUCAUUGCACAGGUUCCCUCUCCCAGCCUGUGCUGACUCAGCUGCCCUCCCUCUCUGCAUCUCCUGGAACAACUGUCAGACUGUCAUGUACCGUGAGAAGUGACAUCAGUGUUGGGGACCGAAGGAUUAGCUGGCACCAACAGAAGCCAAGAAGCCCUCCCCGGUAUCUCCUGAACAGACUCAGACAAGGGCCAAGGCUCCGGGGUCCCGAGCCACUUCUCUGGAUCCAAAGAUUCUUCAGCCAAUGCAGGGAUUCUGCUCAUCUCUGGGCUGCAGCCUGAGGAUGAGGCUAACUAUUACUGUGCUACAUAUAACAGUGCUUACCCUCACAGUGAUCCAAACUCAUGGGGAAGUGAGACAAAAGCCUGCCCACGGCUCUGCUCUGCAUGCAAAGGAUAA